GAUAUUUGGGCAGACCGACGCCAUGGGACCGGAAGUCCACCUUGACAACCUUGGGCUUCUUCGGAGGCGUCGUCCUGUUCGCCGUGGUCUUCGUUGUCCUCCUGAGCAAGAUUGGGCCUUCGAAAAGUGCAGCUAAAGCCGAGAUGCUGCGUGACGACCCGAUCGAGCGUGCGAAGAAGCUCGGUUGCCAGUGCACUCCUGUCGCCGGGACGGUGCUCGGCCCAGGCGAACGGCCCUACUACUGCGUCUGUCCCAAGCCGAAUCCCAGCGGUGGCACGCAGUCGAAUCAUUCUACCAAGGUUCACAAUAGUUCGCGCCCCACUGGUGGCCCUGAAAACACGGAGAAACCGGCGUGACGAGGCACUUCGGCGUCAGUGCCCUCCUGCGACCGCGCGCGCUUCCAGCUUGGGACAAAAACGCUGAAACGAAGGCGGUGGUU